rnacentral:lncRNA from 1 species
UUUAAAACAUGAAUUAGGUCACGGUUCUGUGGCAGCAGAACUGAAUGAUGUAAUGUGACUGUGGGAAAAAAGGGGAUUUACUGAGUCAUGUCAGGUCAAAUGUUGGAAACAUGAGGUCAUAAUUAAUCACUUACACGCGAUCAGCAGAACCGCAGCCAGAACCAGAACGAGUCCUGAAGAAAAGAAAAAGCAAUCGCAAGUUGAGUCAGGGGAAAGUAGUCGGGCGCCACAGAUGAGAAGGCGACUGGUACCCACCCAGACCAGCAGCCAGUGUGUGUCCUCGGCCACAGAGCUGCACUGGUUCUGAGGGGAAGAGAGCACAUGCUUUUAUCCAAGUAUCAUUAAACACCUUUUUCAUGGACACGAUACUUAUGGGGAUAAGUGUGAUUAUAUUAUGUAAGAAUCUUCGCCUAUAACAUUCAAUACGACAUCUAUAACAAGAUAAAACACUAUUAAAAUGAGCACAUGUAUUCUACUUAAACAAACUAUAAUAGAUUGCGUAAUAAAGAAACCUUUUCAUGCCUGUUUAGCUCUGAUCAGCUUAAAGAUAACAUUAUCUCUAACCUGUUGGAGCGAUGAGGGCGUUGUCGAUCGUUUCUCCAUUGGCUUCUACCUCCAAAUAAUGUCCAGCUGCCUCUGAGCAGAGGAUCGUGACAUUGGAAUUGAGGCAGACGGCGCAGCCGCCGUCAGGAGGCACGGUGCUUCCAGAGCAUGGAGGGAAACGACCUUCAGGAGCCCUUUGGUACAGAUUAGUGUUGUUUAGGCCAAAUAUGCUGAUGAUAUUUGUGCAUCUCUUCUGAUCCAGGCAGACGAAAGCCGGAGCUGCCGUUCAAAGGAGAAAAGACGAGAUGAGGACGAUGGAAACAGGAAGCAGCCAACAACUAAAUGGGUCCAAGCAUCAGAGCACAUGGCAGAAGAAAGAGAAAACGUACCCACUCUCCUGUGUGCAAAGGCCUCGGCCGCCUUAUGGAACAAGGAAAACACUGUCAGCGCCAAAAUACAGUCCUUCAGUAAAAAGACAUUACUUUGUUGUACUCAGAUCCACGUAUAUUCACAAUACCAAAAUACUAUAAAACCUAAUACUAUUAUACUAAAUGUAUUGUGUUAGUGCUAAAAUAAAUAUAAUGAAGUGAUGAAAGUAAUUUACUAC